AUACGGAGGGGGUUAGCGUUGUUCGGAAUUACUGGGCGUAAAGCGCACGUAGGCGGACUGGAAAGUUGGGGGUGAAAUCCCGGGGCUCAACCCCGGAACUGCCUCCAAAACUUCCAAUCUAGAGAUCGAGAGAGGUGAGUGGAAUUCCAAGUGUAGAGGUGAAAUUCGUAGAUAUUCGGAGGAACACCAGUGGCGAAGGCGGCUCACUGGCUCGAUACUGACGCUCAGGUGCGAAAGCGUGGGGAGCAAACAGGAUUAGAAACCCUAGUAGUCC
rnacentral:rRNA from 1 species